GCCUUCGUGGUGUAAUGGUUAGCACACUCGUUGCGUACUCUAGAGAUCCAGGUUCGAGUCCCGGCGAGGGUA
rnacentral:tRNA from 1 species